AUUGAACGCUGGCGGCAUGCCUUACACAUGCAAGUCGAACGGUAACAGGUCUUCGGAUGCUGACGAGUGGCGAACGGGUGAGUAAUACAUCGGAACGUGCCCGAUCGUGGGGGAUAACGAAGCGAAAGCUUUGCUAAUACCGCAUACGAUCUACGUAUGAAAGCGGGGGAUCUUCGGACCUCGCGCGGACGGAGCGGCCGAUGGCAGAUUAGGUAGUUGGUGGGAUAAAAGCUUACCAAGCCGACGAUCUGUAGCUGGUCUGAGAGGAUGAUCAGCCACACUGGGACUGAGACACGGCCCAGACUCCUACGGGAGGCAGCAGUGGGGAAUUUUGGACAAUGGGCGCAAGCCUGAUCCAGCCAUGCCGCGUGCAGGAUGAAGGCCUUCGGGUUGUAAACUGCUUUUGUACGGAACGAAAAGGUGCCUUCUAAUAAAGGGCGCUCAUGGCGGUACCGUAAGAAUAAGCACCGGCUAACUACGUG
rnacentral:rRNA from 1 species